rnacentral:rRNA from 1 species
UGUGUAGGCGGUUUGGUAAGUCUGGUGUGAAAUCUCCCGGCUCAACUGGGAGGGUGCGCCGGAAACUGCCGGACUCGAGUGCGGGAGAGGAAAGUGGAAUUCCUGGUGUAGCGGUGAAAUGCGUAGAUAUCAGGAGGAACACCGGCGGUGUAGACGGCUUUCUGGACCGUAACUGACGCUGAAACACGAAAGCGUGGGUAGCAAACAGGAUUAGAUACCCUGGUAGUCCACGCCCUAAACGAUGCACAUUUGGUGUGGGUCAUUCAGUUGAUCCGUGCCGGAGCUAACGCGUUAAAUGUGCCGCCUGGGGAGUACAGUCGCAAGGCUGAA